UUAUCGUUUAUUUGAUAGUACCUUUCCUACUUGGAUAACCGUGGUAAUUCUAGAGCUAAUACAUGCUAAAAAUCCCGACUUCGGAAGGGAUGUAUUUAUUAGAUACAGAACCAAUGCCCUUCGGGGCUCUCUGGUGAAUCAUGAUAACUCCGCGGAUCGCACGGCCUUGCGCCGGCGAUGGUUCAUUCAAAUUUCUGCCCUAUCAACUUUCGACGGCUGGGUAUUGGCCAGCCGUGGUGACAACGGGUAACGGAGGGUUAGGGCUCGACCCCGGAGAAGGAGCCUGAGAGACGGCUACUACAUCCAAGGAAGGCAGCAGGCGCGCAAAUUACCCAAUCCCGACUCGGGGAGGUAGUGACGAUAAAUACUGAUCCAGGGCUCUUUUGGGUCUUGGAAUUGGAAUGAGUACAAUUUAAAUCCCUUAACGAGGAACAAUUGGAGGGCAAGUCUGGUGCCAGCAGCCGCGGUAAUUCCAGCUCCAAUAGCGUAUAUUAAAGUUGUUGAGGUUAAAAAGCUCGUAGUUGAACCUUGGGCCUGGCUGGCCGGUCCGCCUCACCGCGUGCACUGGUCCGGCCGGGCCUUUCCCUCUGGGGAACCGCAUGCCCUUCGCUGGGCGUGUCGGGGAACCAGGACUUUUACUCUGAACAAAUCAGAUCGCUCAAAGAAGGCUCUCGCUCGAAUGCAUUAGCAUGGAAUAAUGGAAUAGGACGUGUGGUUCUAUUUUGUUGGUUUCUAGGACCGCCGUAAUGAUUAAUAGGGACAGUCGGGGGCAUCAGUAUUCAAUUGUCAGAGGUGAAAUUCUUGGAUCUAUUGAAGACUAACUACUGCGAAAGCAUUUGCCAAGGAUGUUUUCAUUAAUCAGGAACGAAAGUUAGGGGAUCGAAGACGAUCAGAUACCGUCGUAGUCUUAACCAUAAACUAUGCCGAUUAGGGAUCGGACGAUGUUAUUUU
rnacentral:rRNA from 1 species